rnacentral:rRNA from 1 species
UACGUAGGGACCAAGCGUUGUCCGGAAUUACUGGGCGUAAAGCGUGCGCAGGCGGCGCGUUAAGACAGGUGUGAAAGCCCCGAGCUUAACUUGGGAAUUGCGCUUGUGACUGGCGUGCUGGAGUGUGGCAGAGGGAGGUGGAAUUCCACGUGUAGCAGUGAAAUGCGUAGAGAUGUGGAGGAACACCGAUGGCGAAGGCAGCCUCCUGGGCCAGCACUGACGCUCAUGCACGAAAGCGUGGGGAGCAAACAGG